GACGAGCAAAUGGAGUGCAACACGGCUAAGGAAACUGCUGAAAUUCACAAAGCAAGAAAGUGGAAGAGAUGGAACUUGAACUAGAUCUAACCGAAUCCACAGCUGCAGGGGAGAGCAUGAAUGCAGACCCCCUCUAGCAUCAAUUACACAGUCAAGGUUCCCACAUGUGGGAAUAUUGCAGGCGUCAGCACAUCCGGAGUGCAAUGGACAAGCCUCACCCUGGGAAAACCACCUUUUUGAUCAAGGUGUCUCUCCUGCCAGGUUUCUGCACGAUCUGGACAGAAGGAAGAAGUGGGUGAAGAAAUGUAGGACAGCUGACUUAGAAGAUAAAACACCUGAUCAGCUAAGUAAACAUUAUUGCCAAACACCUUGAGAACUCUAUGAUUUGUAGAACUAAUACUUAUAAGAGGAUUCUGUGAGAUUAUGCUAUGCCAGCAAUAGUUGAUUUUAUCAGUCAUCUGAACAAUCCACAUGGUAGACAUUGAAAAUGAACAAAAUGGUUGAGUGAUGAUGAAAUCAGAACACAAACAGAAAAAAAAUGAUGAAACUUCUGAACAGAAACAAACACAUAAAGAAACAACAGCAACACUCGGAACUCCAGUGCAGAGAAAGAAGGCAAAGAACAAGAUGAAGACUUUUUAUGCUUAAACUUUGAAGAGUGAAAACGAAGAUUACCUGAUCUUUAUUUGUGGUUUGAUUCUUACAAAGCACACAUCUGGAUUAACAUGAAGCUGACAAAAUCUCAAAAGAUCUCUUUUCCCCUGAUAAUCUUCAAGCAUUGCUGGAGUGCAGAGUAUAUUCUGGUGCGGCUGUUUUAAGAAAGUGUUUUGAGAUAAUAGCAGUCAACACAUCAAUCCGUUUGAAAACACAGCAGAAAUAGGUGCUAGAAACCUGCAAGAGCUCCAUUGGGAAGGAACAGGGAAGUGAGGGACUCAUCUCUUCUCCAUUAUCACUGAUAAUAUGGCGGACACAGCAGGAGAAGAGUAAUCACCAGUACUGGCGAGGUUCACUGAUAGAUCUCAAGACCAGAAGGAGGAAUAUGGGCUUUCUACCUUCUGAAGCUGAUGCAGAAAUUUUGGCUGUGAAAUUUCACACUACUGCGAAGUGAGGAAGGAACAUGGAGCACUGUUGUGGUCUGGCUUAGAUCAUGUCUAGUGCACUUUCUCCCCCAGUGCAAGUCAUGGUAACUAGACUUUUAGGGAGAUAACUCCAAGAUAUCUACACACUGUAUUUUUCCUCUGCCUUAAAUAUGUAGUCAAAAGCAGUGUCUAUUGUGGGAGUAUCUGUUGCUUUGGGAGCAAUUAAAGAUAAUUAACGAUGUUUGUUCUUUUUUCUGUCAAUCACAACUGCUUUAGAACUCAACAAUAUAAUUUCUGUCCUCUUUCAGAAUAAUGAAGGAAAAAAAGGCAAAUGAACUGAAGGCAAUUUACCAUUCUCAAUGUACAGACAGGUAUGAUGCUUUUGAAAUUUUUGUGGAACUCCUACAAAUGUUUUAUGUUUAGGUGGUAUAAAUAUUGAUACAAAUGUUAGAUAGAAUAACUUUAUAGCUGAUUGAAUUUUUGUUCUCUGUAGUGCAUUUUGUUGUAAUUAGUAUCAUUGUUGUUCAUAAAAAUGUCCUAUUUUUAAAAAGAGCCUUUGGAAAAAGUCUCCAGGGCCACACCUCUGAAGUCUUCUUUUUGGCCUACAGCUUGACUGCAAAGUUGCAUUAUGUGAAGAGAUGGAAAAUAUUUAUGUUUAUCAUAAAUUUUGAUUGGAGAAAGCCAUGAAUUUGGCACCAAACUUGAUAUUUAAAUAAAAUUUCCUGAGAAAUUCCUCGGGGCUCAGCAACAUAAUCUAGAAUCUCAACUAACCUUUGAGCAUUACUAUAGAGAAAUACUUAGUGUUCCAACAAUGGGGCCCAUUUUUUAGGAUUUUAGGGAUAUUAUCUUAGAAUAGCACCUCACAGUUCUUAAAUAUUUGUCUCUGGUAGCCUCAGUCAUAGAAUAGCUCACACUCAACACCAUGCCAACAUGUACCAAAGUGACUUAUCCAAUCUUGAUACACUCUCUGCCAACCUUCGUUGUUGAAGGAUCAAGCCAAAACACACAGGAAAAGACAUAGAGCUUCCAUCCACCAUGUACAAAGCCCGCAUCUGUCUCACUUCAAGUUUUUUCUUAAUGUGUGUGCAUUGCUGAAAGUCCUGUAUAUUCUUCCUUGAUGAAGUUUGAGAAUGAGAGCAAUGAAAUUAGAUGAAAACGUCUUAAGCAAAACUAAGAAAUACUUCAACAGACCAGAGGUCAAAUAACUUAACUUCGCUUAACAUAAAUCUUGAUAUAAACUACGAUCUUAAUUUAAUGGUAGACACAUAUAUCAAACUAUAUAUUUAAGCCGAGCUUCCUUCAAGUACUUAAAAAUGCCACUGAAAAUACCUAAGAGAAGUUUGAAAAUAGGUUUUAUCCCUACAUUUGAUAUUUGGAGGAAAAGUUGUAAGGUAUAUAUAGGCCACUUAAUCACUGAAUAUUUGCUUAUGGACCUUCCAUUGAAAGCACUAAACAUUGAUAAACUACCUGUUAAAUGGCCAAUGUUUGAACUUUCAUUCUUUGAAGACCUCUUUUUCCAGAAGACAGUGUUGAAAAAAUAUUUCAUUUGUGUGUGAUUUCUGUUUGUGGCACUCUGGGGGUAUUUUAGUUAAGUAAUUUUGAACUUAACAUUAUUAUUACUAUGAAUCUAAUUACCAGGUAUUAGUUUCCAGUUCUUUGAAGAAGUAAAUGUUGGGGAGGCAUGGGGAGAAGGACUAUAUUUUGUAAAAUAUUACAAUAAAGCUCAGGACUGACCAGUGACUAGUAGGUGUUUUAAUAAGUUGUUAAAAAUAUCUAAUGGGCAGUUAAGGAAAUUACCAACAAGUAAAAGAAACUGAGCCCACCAAGCAGAGAUUUCAGUGUAGAUUUUGUCUCCAUUAAGUGAGUGUAAAGAGGAAAUUGAAGUUUGAAUGGAGAGCAAUCCACUGUUGUUCAUCUGGUUGUUGUUUACAUCCAUUUGUUGAAUUUAUACCUUAACUGAGUCAUAAGCUUUCUAGCAAGUGUAUAUUGAACACUUCUGUUUCAUGAUCGACACAGAAGCAAAGGCCAAGGAUGCUGACCAUCUAUUUGAUUGUUUUCUCUCCAUGACCAUAUCCACUGCCAUGUCUUGAUUUAUAAGAAUUACUUGGGAAAAAUAUAAAUUUUGUUGUUUAUAUAGGAAUAAUACAGAACUUACUGCUGUUAUUUUUGGUGAGAAAAGUAAAUUUUGUACAAUGUAUUUUAAUCUAAAUAAAAUGUGAACUUAAUUAUUUUUAAAAGAAAUUACAAAAAACAUCCUUUAUAACCAUAGAUGCAAAACUCCUUAACAAAAUAUCUGCAAAUUAAAUCCAGCAAUAUAUUAAAAGAAUGAUACAUUAUGACAAAAUAGAGUUUAUCCCAGGAAUACAAGGUUAGUUUCACAUUCAAAAGUCAAUCAAUAUUACUCAUCAUAUUGACAGAUUAAAGGAAUGAAACCACAAAAUCUUCUCAGUAGAUGCAUAAAAAGCAUUGACAAAUUUAAAAACUCAUUCAUGAUAUUAAAAAAAUAUCUAAGUAGGCUAGAAAUAGAAGGGAACUUCCUCCACCUGAUAAAGGGUAUUGAUGAAAAUCCUACAGUUAAUAUAAUGUUCAAUGGUGAGAGAUAAUUUUCCUUCUAAAAUUGCACACAGGGCAAAGAUUUUCCCUCUUAAUGUUGUAAUGGAAGACCUAGCCAGUGGAAUAGGGAAAAAAAAAAAUGAAAUAAAGAGCAUAAUGUGUGUUUGUGUAGAAAAUUCUAGGGAACCUAUAAGCAACUACUGGAACAAACAAACAAAUUUUAAAAUGUU